CUCGGCUACGGACAUGGCGGCGGGCCCAGUCUGAGGCGCUCGCUGGCUCGCACCGCCGGGGCCUGCUUAGCGCCUCCUCCGAGCGGCGGAGCGGGACAUGGAGCGGGGCGCGGCGGGGUCCGCCCUCGGGUGACGGGCAGAAAUACAAAAAACAGAAAUUCUGACGCGAAGGCAAUACAGUCUAGAAAGAAUCAGUGUGUCUCAUGUUAGUGCAGUCUUUUUCAAAUAUGAAUGUUAGUGUAAGUAGAUCUUGUGAUAUUUUCUCUUCUUUAAUAGGAGUAGAAAAUACUGGUGCAAUAUGUUUUUAAUAUCAUCAGCUGCCACCCUGGUAACCUGCUGUUUUCUAUCUCUUCCCCAACAAUUUUAGCCUAAAUUUAGAUAUUUUAAAUUAUAUUUUAAGAAUUUAAUAUGUUAGUAAUUAUGUGAAUUAUGUUAUGUCUUGUUCAUUUAUGUUGGUUUAUAAUUUAUUGAGUUGUUCUUAAAUUGUUUAUUGAUUCACUUAUAGAUUACCAUUGGCAUUGAAUGUUUGCCAUUGUGUAUUUUGUUGUGAGCCGCCUUGAGUCCCUUUGAGAAGAUUGGAUGGACUAUAAAUAAAGUGUCAUUUAAUUUCAAUAUAACACAAAGGCAUUUCUCACAAAUUAGGAGUUACAUUGAUAAUAUCUGCAAAGAUCCAAAUCUCUUCCCAUAUUUGGCAGCUUAGAAAUGAACCAAAUAAAUGAAGUUAGUGUAUCAAAGAUAUGAAUGUCAGCUGUAUAAUUCUUAGUCCAUUUAGUUGAAAA